rnacentral:rRNA from 1 species
GAUGAACGCUGGCGGCGUGCCUAAUACAUGCAAGUCGAGCGAACAGACGAGGAGCUUGCUCUUCUGACGUUAGCGGCGGACGGGUGAGUAACACGUGGAUAACCUACCUAUAAGACUUGGAUAACUUCGGGAAACCGGAGCUAAUACCGGAUAAUAUAUUGAACCGCAUGGUUCAAUAGUGAAAGACGGUUUUGCUGUCACUUAUAGAUGGAUCCGCGCCGCAUUAGCUAGUUGGUAAGGUAACGGCUUACCAAGGCAACGAUGCGUAGCCGACCUGAGAGGGUGAUCGGCCACACUGGAACUGAGACACGGUCCAGACUCCUACGGGAGGCAGCAGUAGGGAAUCUUCCGCAAUGGGCGAAAGCCUGACGGAGCAACGCCGCGUGAGUGAUGAAGGUCUUCGGAUCGUAAAACUCUGUUAUUAGGGAAGAACAAAUGUGUAAGUAACUAUGCACGUCUUGACGGUACCUAAUCAGAAAGCCACGGCUAACUACGUG